rnacentral:rRNA from 1 species
CGAACGAAGCCUUCGGGCUUAGUGGCGGACGGGUUAGUAACGCGUGGGAACGUGCCUUUCACUACGGAAUAGUCCUGGGAAACUGGGUUUAAUACCGUAUACGCCCUUCGGGGGAAAGAAUUUCGGUGAAAGAUCGGCCCGCGUUAGAUUAGGUAGUUGGUGGGGUAAUGGCCUACCAAGCCUACGAUCUAUAGCUGGUUUUAGAGGAUGAUCAGCAACACUGGGACUGAGACACGGCCCAGACUCCUACGGGAGGCAGCAGUGGGGAAUCUUAGACAAUGGGGGCAACCCUGAUCUAGCCAUGCCGCGUGAGUGAUGAAGGCCUUAGGGUCGUAAAGCUCUUUCGCCAGGGAUGAUAAUGACAGUACCUGGUAAAGAAACCCCGGCUAACUCCGUGCCAGCAGCCGCGGUAAUACGGAGGGGGUUAGCGUUGUUCGGAAUUACUGGGCGUAAAGCGCGCGUAGGCGGAUCAGAAAGUUGGGGGUGAAAUCCCGGGGCUCAACCCCGGAACUGCCUCCNAAAACUACUGGUCUUAGAGUUCGAG